rnacentral:lncRNA from 1 species
GAUUAAAUUCUAGGCUUCUUCAGAGAUAAUCACGAAAUCCGAAGUUAAAGAAUAGGGGAAUGAAAGAUUGAAUUUAGAACAAGAGAAGGACAACCUGAGCAAAUAAUGGACGUAGGACAGAACGACAUAAGUGAAGAUAGGACAGGGAGCAUGUUGGAAACAAUGCCCUCGAUAUAACCGCAAAUAAGUCGCCUCUUUCAGUGUCAUCGAGUAUGGUCGUUUAUCAAACCAGAUAAUGAGGGAUACAAAAAUCCGAGAAAGACCUGGAUUUUUCAGUCUGACAAGCAAUGGAUGAAGCAAACAGACUUUGUUCUUUAAUUUGUUCCAUUGUAUCAAAGCACCACUUUUUACAGGUCUUGAAAACAGGUUCUUCUUUGUUAUUACCGAUCAAGCAUGUACGGCACUGAAAUUAUUAAAACUCGUCAAUGAUGAAGGCAAUGAGAUAUGGACUGGGAAACACCACUUCUCUAGACACCUGUUAUUGAGGACCUGNAAUUACAUAUUUUUGCUGUGCGAAGAUGCGUGGUGAGAUUGCACCACAAAUUGACAAGAGAAAGCAAGCCUGUCAGGACAGAAGGCAGAUCUUAUGGCAAUUGAAUCAAAUGAGGACGCAGGUCUGUCAUGUUUUAGUGACAAGAAGGAUCAUUUGUAAUCAUUUUUUUCUUCUUCAAAUAGAAUAUUAAUAUCUGACGAGUGCCCCUACUGUUUGCAUCGACUAGUACCUACAUUAAAAAACCCCUUAAAAACAUGACAAUAUUCGAAAACUAAAAAGACAGACUCGACUUUCUUUAUUACUUUUUCAAGUAAAAUGACUUUUUUGUUGCCUUUGCCAAUCAGCAUAUGAAAAGCCGAAUAACCAAGUUGUGUACUUUUUAUACACCACUCUGCCGGGUAUGAAACUAUCAUCAUUUCUCAUAUCAAAUUGACUACCAUUUUAUUCGUCUCUGCCAAAUUCUUGUCUAAGCUGUACUCAAUUCGAUUAUUUUCUGUCUCUGUUUUGUCACUGUAUUGUAAAUUAGAUUUUCCUGUUCGUAAACGGUUCCAUGUAACAAAGCUUCAUAAAAUCCACAUUCAAUGCGACGUAUGUAUCGUUUUUCUUCGGCCUUGUAGCUUUACGUUUUUGAGUUGCCAACUUUUAUAGCAUUUAAGAAGCCACCAUCGUGUUUAGAAACUUUGGCUGCAAAUCUACGAAUGAAUUGGAGCUUCGCUCAAACGAGAAUAGCAUAACUCGUAUAUGCAUGAAGAAAAAGAAAGAAAGAAAAAA